ACAGCCGUACCAUGCUGAAUAUACCGGUUCUCGUUAGAUCACCGAAGUCAAGCAUCAUUGGGCGUGGUCAGUACUUGGGUGGGUGACCACCGGGGAACACCGCGUGCCGUU
rnacentral:rRNA from 1 species